rnacentral:tRNA from 1 species
GGGGUUGUGGCUCAGUGGUAGAGCACUUGCCUAGCGUGCAUGAGGCAAAGGGUUCAAUCCCU